GAAUGGUUUAAUGAGAAGAGUUCUUUCCCCUUCUUAAAAAUUGAAUUUCAUAGUUAAGUAAAAAAGCUUAAAUAAAUUUUUAAGACGAUAAGACCCUAUAAAGCUUUACUUAUACUUGGUAAAAUAUAAGUAUAUUUAAAUCACUUAAGUUAGGCUGGGGCGGCAAUUUAAUUAAACAUUUUCAGUUAAAACAUAUUGAAUGAAUUUAAAUAAUGAGGAUUUCCUAAUUCUAAAUCAAGUUACUUUAGGGAUAACAGCACAAUUAAUUCUAAGAGUUCUUAUCGAAGAAAAAGAUUGUGACCUCGAUGUUGAAUUGAGUUUCUUUAUUUGAGCAGACCUAAAUAUAAGAAGUCUGUUCGACUUUUAAACUCUCACAUGAUCUGAGUUCCAAACCGGA
rnacentral:rRNA from 1 species